UUAAGUGACUAAGCGUACACGGUGGAUGCCUGGGCAGUCAGAGGCGAUGAAGGACGUACUAACUUGCGAUAAGCGCAGAUAAGGCAGUAAGAGCCGUUUGAGUCUGCGAUUUCCGAAUGGGAAACCAACUGCAUAAGCAGUUACUGUUAACUGAAUACAUAGGUUAACAGAGCAAACCGGGGAACUGAAACAUCUAAGUACCCCGAGGAGAAGAAAUCAACCGAGAUUCCGGUAGUAGCGGCGAGCGAACCUGGAUUAGCCCUUAAGCACUCGGUGAAGUAGGUGAACAAGCUGGAAAGCUUGGCGAUACAGGGUGAUAGCCCCGUAACCGACGCUUCAUCGAGCGUGAAAUCGAGUAGGGCGGGACACGUGAUAUCCUGUCUGAAUAUGGGGGGGACCAUCCUCCAAGGCUAAAUACUCCUGACUGACCGAUAGUGAACCAGUACCGUGAGGGAAAGGCGAAAAGAACCCCUGUGAGGGGAGUGAAAUAGAACCUGAAACCGUGUACGUACAAGCAGUAGGAGCACCUUCGUGGUGUGACUGCGUACCUUUUGUAUAAUGGGUCAGCGACUUAUAUUCAGUGGCAAGGUUAACCGUAUAGGGGAGCCGUAGCGAAAGCGAGUCUUAACUGGCGCUCAGUCUCUGGAUAUAGACCCGAAACCGGGUGAUCUAGCCAUGGGCAGGUUGAAGGUUGAGUAACAUCAACUGGAGGACCGAAACCGACUAAUGUUGAAAAAUUAGCGGAUGACUUGUGGCUAGGGGUGAAAGGCCAAUCAAACUCGGAGAUAGCUGGUUCUCCCCGAAAGCUAUUUAGGUAGCGCCUCGGACGAAUACUACUGGGGGUAGAGCACUGUUAAGGCUAGGGGUCAUCCCGACUUACCAACCCUUUGCAAACUCCGAAUACCAGUAAGUACUAUCCGGGAGACACACGGCGGGUGCUAACGUCCGUCGUGGAGAGGGAAACAACCCAGACCGCCAGCUAAGGUCCCAAAGUAUUGCUAAGUGGGAAACGAUGUGGGAAGGCUCAGACAGCUAGGAUGUUGGCUUAGAAGCAGCCAUCAUUUAAAGAAAGCGUAAUAGCUCACUAGUCGAGUCGGCCUGCGCGGAAGAUGUAACGGGGCUAAGCAAUACACCGAAGCUGCGGCAAUGUCUUUUAGACAUUGGGUAGGGGAGCGUUCUGUAAGCCGUUGAAGGUGAAUCGUAAGGUUUGCUGGAGGUAUCAGAAGUGCGAAUGCUGACAUGAGUAACGACAAAGGGGGUGAAAAACCUCCUCGCCGGAAGACCAAGGGUUCCUGUCCAACGUUAAUCGGGGCAGGGUGAGUCGACCCCUAAGGUGAGGCCGAAAGGCGUAAUCGAUGGGAAACGGGUUAAUAUUCCCGUACUUCUGACUAUUGCGAUGGGGGGACGGAGAAGGCUAGGUGGGCCAGGCGACGGUUGUCCUGGUUCAAGUGCGUAGGCUUGAGAGUUAGGUAAAUCCGGCUCUCUCUAAGGCUGAGACACGACGUCGAGCUACUACGGUAGUGAAGUCAUUGAUGCCAUGCUUCCAGGAAAAGCCUCUAAGCUUCAGAUAGUCAGGAAUCGUACCCCAAACCGACACAGGUGGUCGGGUAGAGAAUACCAAGGCGCUUGAGAGAACUCGGGUGAAGGAACUAGGCAAAAUGGUACCGUAACUUCGGGAGAAGGUACGCUCUUGAUGGUGAAGUCCCUCGCGGAUGGAGCUGACGAGAGUCGCAGAUACCAGGUGGCUGCAACUGUUUAUUAAAAACACAGCACUGUGCAAAAUCGCAAGAUGACGUAUACGGUGUGACGCCUGCCCGGUGCCGGAAGGUUAAUUGAUGGGGUUAGCGCAAGCGAAGCUCUUGAUCGAAGCCCCGGUAAACGGCGGCCGUAACUAUAACGGUCCUAAGGUAGCGAAAUUCCUUGUCGGGUAAGUUCCGACCUGCACGAAUGGCGUAAUGAUGGCCACGCUGUCUCCACCCGAGACUCAGUGAAAUUGAAAUCGCUGUGAAGAUGCAGUGUACCCGCGGCUAGACGGAAAGACCCCGUGAACCUUUACUACAGCUUGGCACUGAACAUUGAACCUACAUGUGUAGGAUAGGUGGGAGGCUAUGAAGACGUGACGCCAGUUGCGUUGGAGCCGUCCUUGAAAUACCACCCUUGUAUGUUUGAUGUUCUAACUUAGACCCAUUAUCUGGGUUGAGGACAGUGCCUGGUGGGUAGUUUGACUGGGGCGGUCUCCUCCCAAAGAGUAACGGAGGAGCACGAAGGUGGGCUAAUCACGGUUGGACAUCGUGAGGUUAGUGCAAUGGCAUAAGCCCGCUUAACUGCGAGAAUGACGGUUCGAGCAGGUGCGAAAGCAGGUCAUAGUGAUCCGGUGGUUCUGUAUGGAAGGGCCAUCGCUCAACGGAUAAAAGGUACUCCGGGGAUAACAGGCUGAUACCGCCCAAGAGUUCAUAUCGACGGCGGUGUUUGGCACCUCGAUGUCGGCUCAUCACAUCCUGGGGCUGAAGUCGGUCCCAAGGGUAUGGCUGUUCGCCAUUUAAAGUGGUACGCGAGCUGGGUUUAGAACGUCGUGAGACAGUUCGGUCCCUAUCUGCCGUGGGCGUUGGAAGAUUGAAGGGGGCUGCUCCUAGUACGAGAGGACCGGAGUGGACGAACCUCUGGUGUUCGGGUUGUGUCGCCAGACGCAUUGCCCGGUAGCUAAGUUCGGAAUUGAUAAGCGCUGAAAGCAUCUAAGCGCGAAGCGAGCCCUGAGAUGAGUCUUCCCUGACAGUUUAACUGUCCUAAAGGGUUGUUCGAGACUAGAACGUUGAUAGGCAGGGUGUGUAAGCGUUGUGAGGCGUUGAGCUAACCUGUACUAAUUGCCCGUGAGGCUUAACCAU
rnacentral:rRNA from 1 species